rnacentral:rRNA from 1 species
GAUGAACGCUGGCGGCGUGCCUAAUACAUGCAAGUCGAGCGAACGGACGAGAAGCUUGCUUUUCUGAUGUUAGCGGCGGACGGGUGAGUAACACGUGGAUAACCUACCUAUAAGACUGGGAUAACUUCGGGAAACCGGAGCUAAUACCGGAUAAUAUUUUGAACCGCAUGGUUCAAAAGUGAAAGACGGUCUUGCUGUCACUUAUAGAUGGAUCCGCGCUGCAUUAGCUAGUUGGUAAGGUAACGGCUUACCAAGGCAACGAUGCAUAGCCGACCUGAGAGGGUGAUCGGCCACACUGGAACUGAGACACGGUCCAGACUCCUACGGGAGGCAGCAGUAGGGAAUCUUCCGCAAUGGGCGAAAGCCUGACGGAGCAACGCCGCGUGAGUGAUGAAGGACUUCGGAUCGUAAAACUCUGUUAUUAGGGAAGAACAUAUGUGUAAGUAACUGUGCACAUCUUGACGGUACCUAAUCAGAAAGCCACGGCUAACUACGUG